UCGGGGCUGUGUUUGUUGGACUUGCCUGCAUUUCCGAACACCUCUGUAAAAAAAGUGACACAGAAAGUAAAGAGGAGGCUGUUAUGUUUUUAUGGCUAAUAAUGAAAGGUGGCAACCUGGCAAGGAGAUUUGAAUUAGUCUGGGUUAUACAUUGAGCUGUAUGGCAACCAGCUUGAAAAACAAGAUACACUGGUAAACCAAGGAAGCUAGCAGAUAGGUAAGUGCAGGUGAUCCCAGUGGAUGGCAGGGACCCUGGAAAGGCUCACGGACAUUAUAGUAGCCCCCUGGCAGGAUGAACACAGAUGCUGUUGGAGAAAGCCAGCUAUAAAGAUGAGUUGGCCAGUAGGUUGUUUAAGGUGGGGAGGAAGGCACGACGGAGUUGUAAAUUCCCCUGGCUUGACAGGGCAGGUAGGUGCUGUUUGUUGCCUUUUCUUGCUGCUGUCUUUGAUAGCCGCUGCUAGGGGUACGGUGUGUAUCUUUGAGUAGCAGUUUUGUACAUCAAUUAUGUAUAGACGCGAUAAAUCUCUUGGGCACUUUCAGCAUCAAGAAAACAUCGUUUUGUAGUUCGUAGUUUUCCUUGUUCUGUGUUUCCCUUUGUGCCUGGAGAGCUGCAAUGGUUACUGCUUUGUGUGGGGAUGAUUCGUCAGAGCAUGCUGCACAUGCGUUGGGGAAAUAAAGUGUGAGCCCUGAAGAGCUCGAGUGAAAAUCUGGGGAUAAGAUUUAACUGUUGUUUUGGAACCAGUAGAGGGAGUACCACGUGCUUUUUCAAAAGGAAAACCAUCAUGGUUUGCAAAAUGCUUGGGGAUUUACAUGUAAUGCACACAUGCAUGCUUUCCUGGAAAGUUUUGCUUUGAAGACUGAGAACAGACAUGGACAUUAAUAGUAUGGUGUGUCAGUUUUGCUUUGCUGUAGUAAUUGUUUUUAUUUAACAUUCUCUUUGAAGCCAACAUGUCUCGAGAGACUGGAAGUGAAGCGCAGCAGUCUCAAGGUGCUCAACAGUCACAAAGUGGUACCAGUUCCUCUUCCAGUGGGUCACAGAGUGCUAGUCAGUCUUCCUCAAGUUCUGGCACCGUCAGUUCUUUGGACACUGUUCCCACUCAGGAGCUUCCAUCGAUCCCCGAGGACCAGGAAUCUGAAGAACUUGUUCCUCAGCCUUGGGGUCGACUCUUCGCGCUUGGAAAAGGUUUCAGCAAUUGUGACUGUGUGAAUGAUGAAUACUGGUUUGGAAGAGACAAAAGCUGUGAUUAUAGUUUUUCUAAGCUAGGCUUGUCUGAGACUGGCUUCUACCAAAACUAUAGCAAGAAGCAUUUCCGAAUUUUCAGGGAAAUGGGUCCAAAAAAUUCCUAUGUUGCCUACAUUGAAGACCACAGCGCAAAUGGAACUUUUGUUAAUAGAGAGCUCGUUGGAAAAGGGAAGAAGCUUCCACUGACUCACAACUCUGAAAUUGCACUGUCUAUACAGACUAAUAAGGUGUUUGUAUUUUCUGAUCUUACGGUGGAUGAUCAGUUGGUGUUCCCUAGAGAACUCAGAGAGAAAUACAUCAUGUCAAAGACUCUGGGAAGUGGUGCCUGUGGAGAAGUCAAACUGGCAUUUGAGAAGAGCACUUGUAACAAAGUUGCGGUAAAGAUAAUCAAUAAGCGGAAGUUCAUGGCAAGUGGUAUUAGAGAGGCAAACCCAGCUUUUAAUAUCAAUACGGAAAUUGAAAUUCUGAAGAAAAUAGAUCAUCCUUGUUUAAUCAAGAUCAAAAACUUCUUUGAAGCAGAGGAUUACUACAUUGUUUUGGAAUUGAUGGAAGGAGGAGAAUUGUAUGACAGGGUGUCAAGGCCAAUCAAGAUGAAAGAAGCUACCUGCAAGUUGUAUUUUUAUCAGAUGCUGCUGGCUGUAAAGUAUCUCCAUGACAAUGGAAUUAUACACCGCGAUCUAAAGCCAGAGAAUGUGCUACUUUCAUCUUCUGAAGAGACAUGUCUUAUAAAGAUUACAGAUUUUGGACAAUCCAAGAUUCUUGGAGAAACUUCUCUUAUGAAAACAUUAUGUGGUACUCCCACGUACCUUGCUCCUGAGGUUCUAAAUUCACUUGGGACUGCUGGAUACAGCCGAGCUGUGGACUGCUGGAGUUUAGGAGUUAUUCUUUUUGUAUGCUUGUGUGGAUAUCCACCAUUUAAUGAGCAAAAUACUCGGCUAUCUCUGAAAGAUCAAAUCACUCGUGGAGAAUACACGUUCAUUCCAAAAGAAUGGAAGCAUGUAUCAGACAUGGCUCUGGAUCUUGUGAAGAAGCUGUUAGUAGUGGAUCCAAGCAAACGUCUUAAAACAGAGGAGGCCUUAGAGCAUCCUUGGCUUCAGGUGAUGUAUGCUGCCUGCUUGGAAGGCCAACAUCCGAUAUGUUCAGUUCUAGAUAUCACACACGUGAAUACUACCACCAAAAGAGCUCCUUGAAUGCUGUUACUGUGAGUAGUGAGAAGGAGUUACUGGCUCCCCACUCCCUCUUGUGUUGUCUGUUGCCUGGCAUAUACCAAGAGCACCCCGGUCACUGGCAGCUGAACCAGCAUGAGGAUGAGGAUAUGAAGAAUACAUUUGAACAGCUGCUUGCUCAGACACAUGGCAGUAUGAAUCCACCGCAAACAUCAAAAAUGCCGACCAGAAAGCGUCUCCAUGAAAAUGAGGAAGAAUCUGGCUCUUCUAAACAUGCUGUUCCUUCUACAUCAUUUCAGAAAAUGAGGUGAAAAAAAAAAAAAAAGAGAAA